GCAAAUAGUUCCAGUAGUUAGCUACAUUCAGCUUUUAUCGUACACGUGUUGACAGACAAAAAUGGACAGCUAGCUACAGGAUUUUGUUGAAUUUACACUGCAUUUAGCUAGUUGGAUACAUUUCAUUGAUAUCAUGGCUGCUAAUAACACAUUCGUUGACUGCUCACGUUUUGUGUCAGUCUCUGACAACGCUUAGCAACAAAUGAGUACAGUGACGUUAGCAGUUAGCUAGCUAUCAACAGCAAAUUCAUAGGAUCAUCCAUGGCACAAAUGUUGUUUAUCCUCAUUCGAUGUUGAGCAGCUCUGACUUGUAGUAGUUAGCUUGUUAACAAGGUAACGUUAGCUUGCCAUGUAAUUUGUAAACAUUGCCACUAAAAGCUUUGUUUUACCUUGUCACACGUUAUCCACGGACCAUAUGGUGAGCGCUUUCUUAGUCCAUACGACGACUGAUCAUUUCGAAAACAUACGAGAGAACCCUAGUCACGUAUAAAGUAUUGCUAGUUAGAGAGCUAUUAAAAACACGACAAGGUGUGUACAUUGGCUGCUUCCUACUUCCUGCAUUGGGUAACCAUUGGCAACGCGACUACCUCGCUUUACGGCGUUUGAAGAACACGCCCAGAAAUCGCUGAAAAAUAUUCUAACAAGUGUCCAGCUGUAAGGUCCAGUCAAAGUUAUAUGUAAAAAAAUCUUCUAUUAGUCACCGAACAUUAGAUUUGUUUUAAUCUUAGCAAGACAAUUGUGCUUGGUAUGCACUGUAGCUAUAUGUUUCAGUGAGAGUGUUAAACGUUUGAUAGCUAGCUAGCGAGAGAGACCACUCACAAUCCGUCUUGAUCUGCACUGCCAGCAUUUGAAGAGCUAGCUUGGGAGGAUGACCAAAAAACAAAAGCAAACCACAAGUUUCACACCUCCCCAGCCUAGGUCACUCAGGUCAAGGAAGAGAAAGUGCAGUGAUGAGUCAGAGGAGAGCGCCCCU